UACGUAGGGUGCAAGCGUUGUCCGGAAUUAUUGGGCGUAAAGAGCUCGUAGGCGGUUUGUUGCGUCGGCUGUGAAAUCCCGAGGCUCAACCUCGGGUCUGCAGUCGAUACGAGCAAACUAGAGUGUUUGCAGGGGGAGACUGGAAUUCCUGGUGUAGCGGUGAAAUGCGCAGAUAUCAGGAGGAACACCGGUGGCGAAGGCAGGUCACUGGGCCGCAACUGACGCUGAGGAGCGAAAAGCAUGGGGGAGCGAACAGG
rnacentral:rRNA from 1 species